GCACAAGCGGUGGAGCAUGUGGUUUAAUUCGACGCAACGCGAAGAACCUUACCAGGGCUUGACAUCCCCUGACCGCGUAUGAAAGUCGAAUUCACCUUCGGGUGACAGGGAGACAGGUGGUGCAUGGUUGUCGUCAGCUCGUGUCGUGAGAUGUUGGGUUAAGUCCCGCAACGAGCGCAACCCCUACGUUUAGUUGCUAACGCGUGAAGGCGAGCACUCUAGACGAACUGCCGUUGACAAAACGGAGGAAGGUGGGGAUGACGUCAAAUCAUCAUGCCCCUUAUGUUCUGGGCUACACACGUGCUACAAUGGCCGGUACAGACGGACGCAAAGCCGCGAGGUGGAGCAAAUCCUAAAAAGCCGGUCUCAGUUCGGAUUGCAGGCUGCAAUUCGCCUGCAUGAAGUCGGAAUCGCUAGUAAUCGCAGGUCAGCAUACUGCGGUGAAUACGUUCCCGGGCCUU
rnacentral:rRNA from 1 species